rnacentral:misc_RNA from 1 species
UUAAGUUCAGCGGGUAUUCCUACCUGAUCCGAGGUCAACCUUUAAAAAGAUGGGGUUUAACGGCAAGAGCCCACCUAGACUUCCAAGGCGUCGCAUCUCUACUGCGCCCGGAGUCUCGGAGAGUCCGCCACUGAUUUUCGGAGCGUGCGGCCGUUAGGCCGUACGGGCUCCAACACCAAGCAGUGCUUGAGGGUUGAAAU